GGGCGUUUAGCUCAGUUGGUAGAGCGUCUGCCUUACAAGCAGAAUGUCGGCGGUUCGA
rnacentral:tRNA from 1 species